rnacentral:misc_RNA from 1 species
AACGCAACUUGCGCCCAGCAAUGGGCAUGUCUGUUCGAGUACCGCCAACCAAUGCAGCAAUGCGAUGUGGCUUGAGAUGAGUGAGUCUCGGCUAAAAUGGAGCAAGCGAGCGGAGUGUGUGUCUCGAGUGUGCCAAAUGCCAAAUGGCUUUAAACUCGCUCGACCAACACAACCUCCCUCCCACUCUUAUUCUUAUACUCUGGUCUCGAAUCAGGCAAGAUUACCCGCUGAACUUAA